AAUAUUGAUGUUGCCUUGUCGCCUUGGGAUGAGCUUUCUCUCCUGUACCGCUGGCCAUCCGGUCCUACCAGUGGGAGCUGUGGAGACAUGACAACUUCUGGGCCAAUGUGGAGCUGUGGAUGCGACUCCGCUUGGCAAACGUGAACAGGGGACUGCAGUAACUGAAAAUAGAAACGGCCUGACAAUACCCCCGAAGAGACGGGGCUUGUCCUCCAGCCC
rnacentral:lncRNA from 1 species